AUACGGAGGGUCCAAGCGUUAUCCGGAAUCAUGGGGUUUAAAGGGUCCGCAGGCGGUCAGUUAAGUCAGAGGUGGAAGCCCAUCGCUCAACGAUGGAACUGCCUUUGAUACUGGUUGACUUGAGUUAUACGGAAGUAGAUAGAAUAAGUAGUGUAGCGGUGAAAUGCAUAGAUAUUACUUAGAAUACCGAUUGCGAAGGCAGUCUACUACGUAUAUACUGACGCUGAGGGACGAAAGCGUGGGGAGCGAACAGGAUUAGAAACCCUAGUAGUCC
rnacentral:rRNA from 1 species